rnacentral:rRNA from 1 species
CGCUCUUUGUGUAAAAAAAAUAAAGAGUCGGACCUGCCCAGUGACAUACGUGUUAAACGGCCGCGGUACUCUGACCGUGCAAAGGUAGCAUAAUCACUUGCCUUUUAAUUGAAGGCUUGUAUGAAUGGUUUGACGAGAACUGAGCUGUCUCCUUUUAAAUAUUUAGAAAUUAACUUGUAGGUGAAGAGGCCUACAUUUAUUUGAGGGACAAGAAGACCCUUUUGAGUUUUAGUGAAAUUAAGAAAUAAGUUGUAUUUUGAUUUUUAAAUUAAAAUAUUGAAUUAUGUAUAACAUAAAUUGUUUUUUUGGGUAAUCUUUAGUUGGGGCGACUGAGGAAUAUAAUUAGCUUCCUUUAGAUUAUAUUAUGAUUGGCUGAUUAAUUUGAUCCAGUGUUUGCUGAUUAAAGGAAAAAAUUACCAUAGGGAUAACAGCGUAAUCUUUUCGGAGAGUUCUUAUCGAAGAAAGGGUUUGCGACCUCGAUGUUGGACUAAGAUAUCCCAGAGGUGUAGAAGCUUCUGAAGGUUGGUCUGUUCGACCAUUAAAAUCUU